rnacentral:lncRNA from 1 species
UUCAUUAGUGUCCAAAAUUUUUUAUCCCUAAUUAUCUUUUAUAGUGAUUUAUUAUAUUAUUUGAGUAUCAUCUAUUAUACAAAGAUUAUUAUCUUCUUUAUCAUUGGUGUAACAUGUGAUGCCUAUAGCAUGUAUCUAUUUGUUUAUUUUUAAAUUAUUUGAUCUGUCAUAAAAGUUUAUGCCUCUCUUAUUAUAAUUUGAUGCUGCAAGAUAUUCGAGAAAAAUAUUAGA